UAAAUUAAUAAUUAAAAAAAUUUAAACGAUGCCCAUGUACCGUGAAAUAGAGUUUAAUAUACAUUAAUAAAAAUGUAGAAUGUGUUUAUAAAUUUUAAAACAACACUAAAGCUCAUAGGCUUCAGUAUAUAGAGUAUUUACGGAAAAAUAAAUAUUUUCGUAGGGGUUAACCCAUAGAUUUUGACAAAAAUUCAAAAAAUGAAAAUUCUAUUUUAAUGCAUUGUUACAUCCUUCUCUAACAUGUGAUGAAUGUCAAAUAGGUUUGAAAUAUAUGUUGUCUCCGUUUCACUAGAGAAUAUAUAUUUUAUAGUGUUUAGUCCACUGAUUUAAGUAGUAUAUAAUAUUUAUUAAUUAAAAUUUUAAAACCUAUUGUGAUGUCUAUGUACCAUGAAAGAGAGUUUACAAUACAUUAAUACAAAUGUAGAAUGUGUUUAGAAAUUUUUAAACAGCUCUAAAGAAUGUAAACUUCAAUAUGUAUUGCAAUUACCAAGAAAACUCAAUUUUUUAGGGGUUAAGCUUCAGAUUUUGAGAAAAAUUCAAAAAAUUUGAGAAUCUUUUUUUACUGCAUAGUUGCAUCCUUAACAGACAUAUGAUGAUGGUCAAAGAGGUUUGAAAUGUAUGUUGUGUCCGUUUCACUAGAGAAUGUAUUUUUUAUAGUGUUUAGUCCACUGAUUUAAGUAGUAUAUAAAAUUUAUUAAAUUAAAUUUUAAAAACUAUUGUGAUGUCUAUGUACCAUGAAAGAGAGUUUACAAUAAAUUAAUACAAAUGUAGAAUGUGAUUAGAAAUUUUUAAACAGCACUAAAGAACGUAAACUUCAAUAUAUAUUGCAAUUACCGAAAAAACUCAUUUUUGUAGGGGUUAACCUUCAGAUUUUGAGAAAAAAUCAAAAAAUUUGAGAAUCUUUUUUUUAUUGCAUAGUUGCAUCCUUAACAGACAUAUGAUGAUGGUCAAAGAGGUUUGAAAUGUAUGUUAUGUCCGUUUCACUAGAGAAUAUAUAUUUUAUAGUGUUUAGUCCACUGAUUUAAGUAGUAUAUAUAUAAUUUAUUAAAUUAAAAUUUUAAAAACUAUAGUGAUGUCUAUGUACCAUGAAAGAGAGUUUAAAAUACAUUAAUUCAAAUGUAGAAUGUGUUUAGAAAUUUUUAAACAGCUCUAAAGAAUGUAAACUUCAAUAUGUAUUGCAAUUUCCGAAAAACUCAAUUUUGUAGGGGUUAACCUUCAGAUUUUGAGAAAAAAUCAAAAAAUUUGACAAUAUUUUUUUAUUGCAUAGUUGCAUCCUUAACAGACAUAUGAUGAUGGUCAAAGAGAUUUGAAAUGUAUGUUGUGUCCGUUUAACUAGAGAAUAUAUAUUUUAUAGUGUUUAGUCCACUGAUUUAAGUAGUAUAUAAAAUUUACUAAAUUAAAUUUUUAAAAACUAUAGUGAUGUCUAUGUACCAUGAAAGAGAGUUUACAAUAAAUUAAUACAAAUGUAGAAUGUGUUUAGAAAUUUUUAAACAGCUAAAAAGAAUGUCAACUUCAAUAUAUAUUGCAAUUACCGAAAAAACUCAAUUUUGUAGGGGUUAACCUUCAGAUUUUGAGAAAAAAAUCAAAAAAAGUUGACAAUCUUUUUUUAUUGCAUAGUUGCAUCCUUAACAUACAUAUGAUGAUGGUUAAAUAUGUUUGAAAUGUAUUUAUUGUCCGUUUCUCUAUAGAAUAUAUAUUUUAUAGUGUUUAGUCCACUGAUUUAAGCAGUAUAUAAAAUUUAUUAAAUUAAAAUUUUAAAAACUAUAGUGAUGUCUAUGUACCAUGAAACAGAGUUUACAAUAUAUUAAUACAAAUGUAUAAUGUGUUUAGAAAUUUUUAAACAGCAUUUAAGAAUGUAAACUUCAAUAUAUAUUGCAAUUACUGAAAAAACUCAAUUUUGUAGGGGUUGUUAACCUUCAGGUUUUGAGAAAAAAUAAAAAAAAACUGACAAUCCUUUUUAAUUGCAUAGUUGCAUCCUUAACAGACAUAUGAUGAUGGUCAAAGAGGUUUGAAAUGUAUGUUGUGUCCGUUUCACUAGAGAAUAUAUAUUUUAUAGUGUUUAGUCCACUGAUUUAAGUAGUAUAUAAAAUUUAUUAAAUUAAAAUUCUAAAAACUAUAGUGAUGUCUAUGAACCAUGAAAGACAGUUUACAAUAAAUUAAUACAAAUGUAGAAUGUGUUUAGAAAUUUUUAAACAGCUCUAAAGAACGUAAACUUCAAUAUAUAUUACAAUUACCGAAAAAACUCAAUUUUGUAGGGUUAACCUUCAGGUUUUGAGAAAAAAACAAAAAAUUUGACAAUCUUUUUUUAUUGCAUAGUUGCAUCCUUAACAGACAUAUGAUGAUGGUCAAAGAAGUUUGAAAUGUAUUUAUUGUCCGUUUCUGUAGAGAAUAUAUAUUUUAUAGUGUUUAGUCCACUGAUUUAAGUAGUAUAUAAAAUUUAUUAAAUUAAAAUUUUUAAAACUGUAGUGAUGUCUAUGUACCAUGAAACAGAGUUUACAAUACAUUAAUACAAAUGUAGAAUAUGUUUAGAAAUUUUUAAUCAGCAUUUAAGAAUGUAAACUUCAAUAUAUAUUGCAAUUACCGAAAAAACUCAAUUUUGUAGGGGUUAGUUAACCUUCAGGUUUUGAGAAAAAAAUCAAAAAAAUUGACAAUCUUUUUUUAUUGCAUAGUUGCAUUCUUAAAAGACAUAUAAUGAUAGUCAAAGAGAUUUGAAAUGUAUUUAUUGUCCGUUUCUCUAGAGAAUAUAUAUUUUAUAGUGUUUAGUCCACUGAUUUAAGUAGUAUAUAAAAUUUAUUAAAUUAAAUUUUAAAAAACUUAGUGAUUUCUAUGUACCAUGAAGGAGAGUUUACAAUAUAUUAAUACAAAUGUAGAAUGUGGUUAGAAAUUUUUAAACAUCACUAAAGAACGUAAAAUUCAAUAUAUAUUGCAAUUACCGAAAAAACUCAAUUUUGUAGGGGUUAACCUUCAGGUUUUGAGAAAAAAUCAAAAAAUUUGACAAUUUUUUUUAUUGCAUAGUUGCAUCCUUAACAGACAUAUGAUGAUGGUCAAAGAGGUUUGAAAUGUAUGUUGUGUCCGGUUCACUAGAGAAUAUAUAUAUUUUAUAGUGUUUAGUCCACUGAUUUAAAUAGUAUUUAAAAUUUAUUAAAUUAAAUUUUUUAAAACUAUAGUGAUGUCUAUGUACCAUGAAAGAAUGUUUACAAUAAAUUAAUACAAAUGUAGAAUGUGUUUAUAAAUUUUUAAACAGCACUAAAGAAUGUAAAAUUCAAUAUAUAUUGCAAUUACCGAAAAAACUCAAUUUUGUAGGGGUUAACCUUCAGGUUUUGAGAAAAAAUCAAAAAAUUUGAGAAUUUUUUUUAUUGCAUAGUUGCAUCCUUAACAGACAUAUGAUGAUGGUCAAAGAGGUUUGAAAUGUAUGUUGUGUCCGGUUCACUAGAGAAUAUAUAUUUUAUAGUGUUUAGUCCACUGAUUUAAAUAGUAUUUAAAAUUUUUUAAAUUAAAUUUUUUAAAACUAUUGUGAUGUCUAUGUACCAUGAAAGAAUGUUUACAAUAUAUUAAUACAAAUGUAGAAUGUGUUUAUAAAUUUUUAAACAGCACUAAAGAAUGUAAACUUCAAUAUAUAUUGCAAUUACCGAAAAAACUCAAUCUUGUAGGGGUUAACCUUCAAAUUUUGAGAAAAAAUCAAAAAAAUUGACAAUCUUUUUUUAUUGCAUAGUUGCAUCCUUAACAGACAUAUGAUGAUGGUCAAAGAUGUUUGAAAUGUAUUUAUUGUCCGUUUCUUUAUAGAAUAUAUAUUUUAUAGUGUUUAGUCCACUGAUUUAAGCAGUAUAUAAAAUUUAUUAAAUUAAAAUUUUAAAAACUAUAGUGAUGUCUAUGUACCAUGAAAGAGAGUUUACAAUACAUUAAUACAAAUUUUGAAUGUUUUUAGAAAUUUUUAAACAGCUCUAAAGAAUGUAAACUUCAAUAUGUAUUGCAAUUACCGAAAAACUGAAUUUUGUAGGGGUUAACCUUCAGAUUUUGAGAAAAAAUCAAAAAAUUUGACAAUCUUUUUUUAUUGCAUAGUUGCAUCUUUAACAGAUAUAUGAUGAUGGUCAAAUAGGUUUGAAAUGUAUGUUGUGUCCGUUUCACUAGAGAAUAUAUAUUUUAUUGUGUUUAGUCCACUGAUUUAAGUAGUUAAUAAAAUUUAUUAAAUUAAAAUUUUUAAAAAUAUAGUGAUGUCUAUGUACCAUGAAAGAGAGUUUACAAUACAUUAAUACAAAUGUAGAAUGUGUUUAGAAAUUUUUAAACAGCUCUAAAGAUUGCAAACUUCAAUAUAUAUUGCAAUUACCGAAAAAACUCAAUUUUGUAGGGGUACCUUCAGAUUUUGAGAAAAAAUCAAAAACUUUAACAAUAUUUUUUUUUUGCAUAAUUGCAUCCUUAAAAGACAUAUGAUGAU